rnacentral:pre_miRNA from 1 species
AGUGGGAUAGCUGGGUCAAAAGGUGGUUUCAUUCCCAGUUUUCCAAGGAAUUUCCAUACUGCUUUCCAUAUUGGCUGCACCAUUUGCGGUCCCACCAGCAAU